rnacentral:rRNA from 1 species
AACGCGAAGAACCUUACCUCCCCUUGACAUCCACGGAAUCUUUCAGAGAUGAGAGAGUGCCUUCGGGAACCGUGAGACAGGUGAUGCAUGGCUGUCGUCAGCUCGUGUCGUGAGAUGUUGGGUUAAGUCCCGUAACGAGCGCAACCCUCGUCCUUAGUUGCUACCAGGUUAUGCUGAGCACUCUAAGGAGACUGCAGGUGAUAAACCUGAGGAAGGCGGGGAUGACGUCAAGUCAUCAUGUCCCUUACGGGGAGGGCUACACACGUGCUACAAUGGGCAGUACAAAGGGUUGCGAAGCCGCGAGGUGAAGCUAAUCCCAAAAAGCUGUUCGUAGUCCGGAUUGGAGUCUGCAACUCGACUCCAUGAAGUUGGAAUCGCUAGUAAUCGCAAAUCAGCAUGUUGCGGUGAAUACGUUCCCGGGCCUGUACACACCGCUCGUC